rnacentral:lncRNA from 1 species
GAUUGCCCGCCUGCCCGUGGGUCAUGGCCUGCCAGCAGUCGCGGUACCACAGCUUCUCGUCCGCGUCGAGGUAGGCGCUGGCAGGGAUGAGGGCAGAGAUGAGGGUUUGAGUACUUCUAGAGAGGGAAAUGGCACUUGAUCCGGACCUCUGCACCUCCUGCUGGCCUCUGACCAUUGAUCUAGGGCUCCAGCACCACAGAGUCAAUGGUUAGAAUCGGGCUGAUUUAGCCCAGUGAAGACGUUACGUGCUAGCAAAACGAGACGAGGUUUCACCACGUUGCCCAGGCUGGUUUCGAACUCCUAGACUCAAGCGACCCUCCCACUUCGACCUCUCAAACUGGGAUUACAAGCGUGAACCCCCACACCCGGCCUACAUUACAGCCACGGCCUUCAGGAGUGACCAUAGACGAAUCCUUUCUCACAGAAGACAAGAGCACCCAGAAUCGCAAGCUUCUUCAGAAACGAAGGACGCUG